UGGGGAAUAUUGCACAAUGGGCGCAAGCCUGAUGCAGCAACGCCGCGUGAACGAUGAAGGUCUUCGGAUCGUAAAGUUCUGUUGCAGGGGAAGAUAAUGACGGUACCCUGUGAGGAAGCCCCGGCUAACUACGUGCCAGCAGCCGCGGUAAUACGUAGGGGGCUAGCGUUAUCCGGAUUUACUGGGCGUAAAGGGUGCGUAGGUGGUCUUUCAAGUCGGUGGUUAAAGGCUACGGCUCAACCGUAGUUAGCCUCCGAAACUGGAAGACUUGAGUGCAGGAGAGGAAAGUGGAAUUCCCAGUGUAGCGGUGAAAUGCGUAGAGAUUAGGAGGAACACCGGUGGCGAAAGCGGCUUUUUGGCCUGCAACUGACACUGAGGCGCGAAAGCGUGGGGAGCAAACAGG
rnacentral:rRNA from 1 species